rnacentral:rRNA from 1 species
AUUGAACGCUGGCGGCAUGCCUUACACAUGCAAGUCGAACGGUAACAGGUCUUCGGAUGCUGACGAGUGGCGAACGGGUGAGUAAUACAUCGGAACGUGCCCAGACGUGGGGGAUAACGAGGCGAAAGCUUUGCUAAUACCGCAUACGAUCUAAGGAUGAAAGCAGGGGACCGCAAGGCCUUGCGCGUUUGGAGCGGCCGAUGGCAGAUUAGGUAGUUGGUGGGAUAAAAGCUUACCAAGCCGACGAUCUGUAGCUGGUCUGAGAGGACGACCAGCCACACUGGGACUGAGACACGGCCCAGACUCCUACGGGAGGCAGCAGUGGGGAAUUUUGGACAAUGGGCAAAAGCCUGAUCCAGCAAUGCCGCGUGCAGGAUGAAGGCCUUCGGGUUGUAAACUGCUUUUGUACGGAACGAAAAGGCUCUGGCUAAUACCUGGGGCACAUGACGGUACCGUAAGAAUAAGCACCGGCUAACUACGUG